ACUUUCAACAACGGAUCUCUUGGUUCUGGCAUCGAUGAAGAACGCAGCGAAAUGCGAUAAGUAGUGUGAAUUGCAGAAUUCAGUGAAUCAUCGAAUCUUUGAACGCACAUUGCGCCCCUUGGUAUUCCAUGGGGCAUGCCUGUUCGAGCG
rnacentral:rRNA from 2 species